UACAGCCAUAUCAUGUUGAAACCCCGAAUCUCGUAUGAUCGGCAAAGUUAGGCAACAUUAAGCCUGGUCAGUAUCUAGAUGGGUAACCGUUUGGGAAUAACAGGUGCUGUAAG